rnacentral:rRNA from 1 species
CAGCAGUCGCCGCGGGAAUACGGAGGGUGCAAGCGUUAAUCGGAAUUACUGGGCGUAAAGCGCACGCAGGCGGUCUGUCAAGUCAGAUGUGAAAUCCCCGGGCUUAACCUGGGAACUGCAUUUGAAACUGGCAGGCUAGAGUCUUGUAGAGGGGGGUAGAAUUCCAGGUGUAGCGGUGAAAUGCGUAGAGAUCUGGAGGAAUACCGGUGGCGAAGGCGGCCCCCUGGACAAAGACUGACGCUCAGGUGCGAAAGCGUGGGGAGCAAACAGGAUUAGAUACCCGAGUAGUCCCUGUCUCUUAUAC